rnacentral:rRNA from 1 species
UACAGAGGUGUCGAGCGUUGUUCGGAUUUACUGGGCGUAAAGGGUGCGUAGGCGGCCGCGUAUGUCGGAUGUGAAAUCUCGCCGCUCAACGGCGAAACGGCAUCCGAAACUACGUGGCUCGAGGGCAGGAGAGGAAGGCGGAAUUCUCGGUGUAGCGGUGAAAUGCGUAGAUAUCGAGAGGAACACCGGUGGCGAAGGCGGCCUUCUGGACUGUUUCUGACGCUGAGGCACGAAGGCUGGGGGAGCAAACAGG